rnacentral:rRNA from 1 species
UGGGGAAUAUUGCACAAUGGGGGAAACCCUGAUGCAGCGACGCCGCGUGAGCGAAGAAGGUUUUCGAAUCGUAAAGCUCUGUCCUAUGGGAAGAUAAUGACGGUACCAUAGGAGGAAGCCCCGGCUAACUACGUGCCAGCAGCCGCGGUAAUACGUAGGGGGCAAGCGUUGUCCGGAAUCACUGGGCGUAAAGGGUUCGCAGGCGGAAAUGCAAGUCAGUUGUGGAAGGCAGAGGCUCAACCUCUGUAAGCAAUUGAAACUGUAUUUCUUGAGAUGUGGAGAGGCAAGUGGAAUUCCUAGUGUAGCGGUGAAAUGCGUAGAUAUUAGGAAGAAUACCGGUGGCGAAGGCGACUUGCUGGACACAAACUGACGCUGAGGAACGAAAGCGUGGGUAGCAAACAGG